UACGGGGGGGGCGAGCGUUGUUCGGAAUCACUGGGCGUAAAGGGCGCGUAGGCGGCCCGCACAAGUCUGCGGUGAAAACCCCCGGCUUAACCGGGGGCCGGCCGUGGAAACUGUCGGGCUAGAGGCCGGGAGAGGGCAGCGGAAUUCCCGGUGUAGCGGUGAAAUGCGUAGAUAUCGAGAGGAACACCUGAGGUGAAGACGGGUUGCUGGGCCGACACUGACGCUGAGUGCGCGAAAGCCAGGGGAGCAAACGGG
rnacentral:rRNA from 1 species